rnacentral:rRNA from 1 species
AGUGGCGGACGGGUGAGUAACGCGUGAGAAUCUGCCUUGGGGUCGGGGACAACCACUGGAAACGGUGGCUAAUACCGGAUAAGCCGAUUGGUGAAAGAUUUAUUGCCCGAAGAGGAGCUCGCGUCUGAUUAGCUAGUUGGUGAGGUAAGAGCUCACCAAGGCAGCGAUCAGUAGCUGGUCUGAGAGGACGAUCAGCCACACUGGGACUGAGACACGGCCCAGACUCCUACGGGAGGCAGCAGUGGGGAAUUUUCCGCAAUGGGCGAAAGCCUGACGGAGCAAGACCGCGUGAGGGAGGAAGGCUCUUGGGUUGUAAACCUCUUUUCUCAGGGAAGAAGCUCUGACGGUACCUGAGGAAUCAGCCUCGGCUAACUCCGUGCCAGCAGCCGCGGUAAUACGGAGGAGGCAAGCGUUAUCCGGAAUUAUUGGGCGUAAAGCGUCCGCAGGUGGCGAUUCAAGUCUGCUGUCAAAGCACGGGGCUUAACUCCGUAAAGGCAGUGGAAACUGAAUAGCUAUAGUGCCGUAGGGGUAGAGGAAAUUCCCGGUGUAGCGGUGAAAUGCGUAGAGAUCGGGAAGAACAUCGGUGGCGAAAGCGCUCUACUGGACGGCAACUGACACUCAGGGACGAAAGCUAGGGGAGCGAAUGGGAUUAGAUACCCC